UAGGGAAUCUUCCACAAUGGACGAAAGUCUGAUGGAGCAACGCCGCGUGAGUGAAGAAGGAUUUCGGUUCGUAAAACUCUGUUGCAAGGGAAGAACAAGUAGCGUAGUAACUGGCGCUACCUUGACGGUACCUUGUUAGAAAGCCACGGCUAACUACGUGCCAGCAGCCGCGGUAAUACGUAGGUGGCAAGCGUUGUCCGGAAUUAUUGGGCGUAAAGCGCGCGCAGGUGGUUCCUUAAGUCUGAUGUGAAAGCCCCCGGCUCAACCGGGGAGGGUCAUUGGAAACUGGGGAACUUGAGUGCAGAAGAGGAUAGUGGAAUUCCAAGUGUAGCGGUGAAAUGCGUAGAGAUUUGGAGGAACACCAGUGGCGAAGGCGACUGUCUGGUCUGUAACUGACACUGAGGCGCGAAAGCGUGGGGAGCAAACA
rnacentral:rRNA from 1 species